GACGAACGCUGGCGGCGUGCUUAACACAUGCAAGUCGAACGGAAAGGCCUAGCUUGCUGGGUACUCGAGUGGCGAACGGGUGAGUAACACGUGGGUGAUCUGCCCCUGACUUUGGGAUAAGCCUGGGAAACUGGGUCUAACACCGGAUAUUCAUUUUUCCUCGCAUGGGGAUUUGUGGAAAGCUUUUGCGGUUGGGGAUGGGCCCGCGGCCUAUCAGCUUGUUGGUGGGGUAAUGGCCUACCAAGGCGACGACGGGUAGCCGACCUGAGAGGGUGAUCGGCCACACUGGGACUGAGACACGGCCCAGACUCCUACGGGAGGCAGCAGUGGGGAAUAUUGCACAAUGGGCGCAAGCCUGAUGCAGCGACGCCGCGUGAGGGAUGACGGCCUUCGGGUUGUAAACCUCUUUCAGCUCCGACGAAGCGCAAGUGACGGUAGGAGCAGAAGAAGCACCGGCCAACUACGUG
rnacentral:rRNA from 1 species